rnacentral:rRNA from 1 species
UAGGGAAUCUUCGGCAAUGGACGGAAGUCUGACCGAGCAACGCCGCGUGAGUGAAGAAGGUUUUCGGAUCGUAAAGCUCUGUUGUAAGAGAAGAACGAGUGUGAGAGUGGAAAGUUCACACUGUGACGGUAUCUUAUCAGAAAGGGACGGCUAACUACGUGCCAGCAGCCGCGGUAAUACGUAGGUCCCGAGCGUUGUCCGGAUUUAUUGGGCGUAAAGCGAGCGCAGGCGGUUAGAUAAGUCUGAAGUUAAAGGCUGUGGCUUAACCAUAGUACGCUUUGGAAACUGUUUAACUUGAGUGCAAGAGGGGAGAGUGGAAUUCCAUGUGUAGCGGUGAAAUGCGUAGAUAUAUGGAGGAACACCGGUGGCGAAAGCGGCUCUCUGGCUUGUAACUGACGCUGAGGCUCGAAAGCGUGGGGAGCAAACAGGAUUAGAUACCCUGGUAGUCCACGCCGUAAACGAUGAGUGCUAGGUGUUAGACCCUUUCCGGGGUUUAGUGCCGUAGCUAACGCAUUAAGCACUCCGCCUGGGGAGUACGACCGCAAGGUUG